rnacentral:rRNA from 1 species
AGAGUUUGAUCCUGGCUCAGAGUGAACGCUGGCGGCGUGCCUAAUACAUGCAAGUCGAACGGACGAGUAAGAGCUUGCUCUUAUGAGUUAGUGGCGCACGGGUGAGUAAUGUAUAGUUAAUCUGCCCUACACUGGAGGACAACAGUUAGAAAUGACUGCUAAUACUCCAUACUCCUUCUUAACACAAGUUAAGUCGGGAAAGUUUUUUCGGUGUAGGAUGAGACUAUAUUGUAUCAGCUAGUUGGUGAGGUAAUGGCUCACCAAGGCUAUGACGCAUAACUGGUCUGAGAGGAUGAUCAGUCACACUGGAACUGAGACACGGUCCAGACUCCUACGGGAGGCAGCAGUAGGGAAUAUUGCUCAAUGGGGGAAACCCUGAAGCAGCAACGCCGCGUGGAGGAUGACACUUUUCGGAGCGUAAACUCCUUUUGUUAGGGAAGAACAAUGACGGUACCUAACGAAUAAGCACCGGCUAACUCCGUGCCAGCAGCCGCGGUAAUACGGAGGGUGCAAGCGUUACUCGGAAUCACUGGGCGUAAAGGACGCGUAGGCGGAUUAUCAAGUCUUUUGUGAAAUCUAAUGGCUCAACCAUUAAACUGCUUGAGAAACUGAUAAUCUAGAGUGAGGGAGAGGCAGAUGGAAUUGGUGGUGUAGGGGUAAAAUCCGUAGAGAUCACCAGGAAUACCCAUUGCGAAGGCGAUCUGCUGGAACUUAACUGACGCUAAUGCGUGAAAGCGUGGGGAGCAAACAGGAUUAGAUACCCUGGUAGUCCACGCCCUAAACGAUGUAUACUAGUUGUUGCUGUGCUAGUCAUGGCAGUAAUGCACCUAACGGAUUAAGUAUACCGCCUGGGGAGUACGGUCGCAAGAUUAAAACUCAAAGGAAUAGACGGGGACCCGCACAAGCGGUGGAGCAUGUGGUUUAAUUCGAAGAUACGCGAAGAACCUUACCUGGGCUUGAUAUCCUAAGAACCUUGUAGAGAUACGAGGGUGCUAGCUUGCUAGAACUUAGUGACAGGUGCUGCACGGCUGUCGUCAGCUCGUGUCGUGAGAUGUUCGGUUAAGUCCGGCAACGAGCGCAACCCACGUAUUUAGUUGCUAACAGUUCGGCUGAGCACUCUAAAUAUACUGCCUUCGUAAGGAGGAGGAAGGUGUGGACGACGUCAAGUCAUCAUGGCCCUUAUGCCCAGGGCGACACACGUGCUACAAUGGCAUAUACAAUGAGACGCAAUAUCGCGAGAUGGAGCAAAUCUAUAAAAUAUGUCCCAGUUCGGAUUGUUCUCUGCAACUCGAGAGCAUGAAGCCGGAAUCGCUAGUAAUCGUAGAUCAGCCAUGCUACGGUGAAUACGUUCCCGGGUCUUGUACUCACCGCCCGUCACACCAUGGGAGUUGAUUUCACUCGAAGCCGGAAUACUAAACUAGUUACCGUCCACAGUGGAAUCAGCGACUGGGGUGAAGUCGUAACAAGGUAACCGUAGGAGAACCUGCGGUUG